rnacentral:rRNA from 1 species
UACAGAGGUCUCAAGCGUUGUUCGGAUUCAUUGGGCGUAAAGGGUGUGUAGGUGGCGCCGUAAGUCGGGUGUGAAAUCUCGGGGCUUAACUCCGAAACUGCAUUCGAUACUGCGGUGCUUGAGGACUGGAGAGGAGACUGGAAUUCAUGGUGUAGCAGUGAAAUGCGUAGAGAUCAUGAGGAAGACCAGUGGCGAAGGCGGGUCUCUGGACAGUUCCUGACACUAAGACACGAAGGCCAGGGGAGCAAACGGGG